rnacentral:pre_miRNA from 1 species
CAGUGAAUCACCUGGGGAUCUUGUUAAAAUACAAAUUCUGAUUCAGUAUGUCUGGGGUGGAGCCUGAGAUUCUGCACUUCCAACAAGCUCCCAGGUGAUACUGAU